UACGGAGGGUGCGAGCGUUAAUCGGAAUUACUGGGCGUAAAGGGUGCGUAGGUGGUAUGGUAAGUUAUCUGUGAAAUUCCUGGGCUUAACCUGGGACGGUCAGAUGAUACUGCUGUACUCGAGUAUGGGAGAGGGUAGUGGAAUUUCCGGUGUAGCGGUGAAAUGCGUAGAGAUCGGAAGGAACACCAGUGGCGAAGGCGGCUACCUGGCCCGUUUCUGACGCUCAGACGCGAAAGCGUGGGGAGCAAACAGG
rnacentral:rRNA from 1 species